UACGGGGGGGAGCAAGCGUUGUUCGGAUUUACUGGGCGUAAAGGGCGCGUAGGCGGUAGCACAAGUCAGUUGUGAAAUCUCCGGGCUUAACUCGGAAAGGUCAACUGAUACUGUGCGACUAGAGUGCAGAAGGGGCAACUGGAAUUCUCGGUGUAGCGGUGAAAUGCGUAGAUAUCGAGAGGAACACCUGCGGCGAAGGCGGGUUGCUGGGCUGACACUGACGCUGAUGCGCGAAAGCCAGGGGAGCGAACGGG
rnacentral:rRNA from 1 species